GACGAACGCUGGCGGCAGGCUUAACACAUGCAAGUCGAGUGAGCGGCGGACGGGUGAGUAAUGUCUGGGAAACUGCCUGAUGGAGGGGGAUAACUACUGGAAACGGUAGCUAAUACCGCAUACCAUCAGAUGUGCCCAGAUGGGAUUAGCUAGUAGGUGGGGUAAUGGCUCACCUAGGCGACGAGCCCUAGCUGGUCUGAGAGGAUGACCAGCCACACUGGAACGUAGACACUGUCCAGACUCCUACGGGAGGCAGCAGUGGGGAAUUGUGCACAAUUGGCGCAAGCCUGAUGCAGCCAUGCCGCGUGUGUGAAGAAGGCCUUCGGGUUGUAAAGCACUUUCAGCGAGGAGGCGUUACUCGCAGAAGAAGCACCGGCUAACUCCGUGCCAGCAGCCGCGGUAAUAC
rnacentral:rRNA from 1 species